rnacentral:rRNA from 1 species
UACGGAGGAUCCAAGCGUUAUCCGGGAUUAUUGGGUUUAAAGGGUCCGUAGGCGGUUUGGUAAGCCAGUGGUGAAAGCCCAUCGCUUAACGAUGGAACGGCCAUCGAUACUGCCAGACUUGAAUUACUGGGAAGUAACUAGAAUAUGUAGUGUAGCGGUGAAAUGCUUAGAUAUUACAUGGAAUACCAAUUGCGAAGGCAGGUUACUACCAGUGGAUUGACGCUGAUGGACGAAAGCGUGGGGAGCGAACAGG